CCAAAGGGUUCACAUACUUUUUCUUGCAACUGUAUCUGAUUAAAAAGACAAAAAUCAAAGUAGAAAUUGCUACAUGAGCCAAGCAUUUCUGUUAAAAUGGCUAGACCGAACAUCUCAAAUUAUGCCAUUUGUUAUACUCUGGGUUGCCUACUUUUGAAAAUGGUUUGCCCAUAACGGUGGAAAUAUUAUUACCCAGGCUGCCAUACUCUCUGAAAAGCCACAUAGGCCCAGAAAAUCAUUUUGACAAACUUACAAGCUGGAAGG